rnacentral:rRNA from 1 species
UACGUAGGGUCCGAGCGUUGUCCGGAAUUAUUGGGCGUAAAGGGCUCGUAGGCGGUUUGUCGCGUCUGCUGUGAAAACGCGAGGCUCAACCUCGCGCCUGCAGUGGGUACGGGCAGACUGGAGUGCGGUAGGGGAGAUUGGAAUUCCUGGUGUAGCGGUGGAAUGCGCAGAUAUCAGGAGGAACACCGAUGGCGAAGGCAGAUCUCUGGGCCGUAACUGACGCUGAGGAGCGAAAGCGUGGGGAGCGAACAGG